UACGUAGGGUGCGAGCGUUGUCCGGAAUUAUUGGGCGUAAAGAGCUCGUAGGCGGUGUGUCACGUCGUUCGUGAAAACCUGCAGCUUAACUGUGGGCGUGCGGUCGAUACGGGCAUCACUGGAGUUCGGCAGGGGAGACUGGAAUUCCUGGUGUAGCGGUGAAAUGCGCAGAUAUCAGGAGGAACACCGAUGGCGAAGGCAGGUCUCUGGGCCACUACUGACGCUGAGAAGCGAAAGCAUGGGGAGCGAACAGG
rnacentral:rRNA from 1 species